rnacentral:rRNA from 1 species
GACGUAGGGCGCGAGCGUUGUCCGGAUUUAUUGGGCGUAAAGAGCUCGUAGGCGGCUUGUCGCGUCGACUGUGAAAACCCGCGGCUCAACCGCGGGCCUGCAGCCGAUACGGGCAGGCUAGAGUUCGGUAGGGGAGACUGGAAUUCCUGGUGUAGCGGUGAAAUGCGCAGAUAUCAGGAGGAACACCGGCUGGCGAAGGC